rnacentral:rRNA from 1 species
UACAGAGGUCUCAAGCGUUGUUCGGAUUCAUUGGGCGUAAAGGGUGCGUAGGCGGCGCGGUAAGUCGGGUGUGAAAUCUCGGGGCUUAACUCCGAAACUGCAUUCGAUACUGCCGUGCUUGAGGACUGGAGAGGAGACUGGAAUUUACGGUGUAGCGGUGAAAUGCGUAGAUAUCUGGAGGAAUACCGGUGGCGAAGGCGGCAUCCUGGACCGACAUUGACGCUGAGGAGCGAAAGCUAGGGGAGCAAACGGG